rnacentral:lncRNA from 1 species
UUAAUGUAUUGCAUCAUUUAGGCUUUCACAUUUACAUAAGCUAACCUUCCAAAUGCAACUGUUUCAGUACUUCCAGUUUUAAAUAUUUCUUUUAAAAAUAAUAUGUUUUUGUUUUAUGAAGGAUGAAGCUGAUGCAGUAUCAUCCACCACCACCCUCAAUGUCACCAGAUCUGCUGCAGCUCUUGCUCUCAGUGUCCGUGAACAGUGCCACUUGUCACAAAGAACGGUAAACAGCAUCAUCUCGGAGGUUCAACAGUAUCAAGCUGUUCUCAUCAAUGCGCUCAAGGAAAGAAUGAGGAGAGUCUUUGAGGAGCACCCUGAGAGAAGCCCUCAACUUCAAGAUGAAGCGUUGUCCGUACUGGAUACUUUUGUGGAUCCUUUCUCGGCCAACGCAUAUGGACAAAACAAGACUUACCGUGAAAUCUUCGAUCCAGUGACCCCAGAGGAAGUUGUAGUCUCCCAGAAGAUUUGUUGGGUUAAGCGAGGUGGUGCAAGGAUUAUGUCACUCAAAAACAGCAGUUUUUACUAUGUACCUUUGAUUCAGAGUCUAAAGCAGUUAUUGAGCAAUUCCAGAAUUUUCACCAUGUUGAAUAGAAUACCGCCAAGAAGCAGAGAAGGAUUUUUGUAUGACUUUAGUGACGGGGCCCUCUUUGCAUCACAUCCUUUAUUUUCUGAAAGACCAAAUUCAUUGCAAAUUGUGCUCUACACAGAUGAAAUUGAAAUAUGUAACCCAUUAGGGCCUCAUGCAUCUGCAAAUAAACUGCUGAUGUUCUACUAUAGUUUAGGCAAUAUUGAUCCAAAAUGUAGGUCCAUUUGGCUGCUAUACGACUCCUUGCAAUUGCUAAGUCCAGGGAUAUUUCACUGUGGGGCGUUGAUGUUGUACUGAAAAGACUUCUUCAAGACCUUACUCAACUUUAUGAUGGUGUGAGGAUUGAAACACCAAAUGGUGAAACUGAUUUGUUUGGUGCUGUAAUAGCCUUAUGCGGUGACACACUGGCGCAACAUGAACUUGCUGGAUUUAAAGAAGGUGUUGGAUUUGCUUACAGCAAAUGCAGACACU